GACGAACCGUGCGAACGUUGUUCGGAAUCACUGGGCUUAAAGGGCGCGUAGGCGGGCUCCCAAGUCAGGGGUGAAAACUUUCGGCUCAACCGGAAAAGUGCUUCUGAUACUGGGAGUCUCGAGGGAGGUAGGGGUCGGUGGAACUGGUGGUGGAGCGGUGAAAUGCGUAGAGAUCGGGAGGAACACCAGAGGCGAAGGCGUCGACCUGGACAGACACUGACACUCAACUGCGAAAGCGUGGGGAGCAAACAGG
rnacentral:rRNA from 1 species